rnacentral:rRNA from 1 species
UACGUAGGGUGCAAGCGUUUGUCCGGAAUUAUUGGGCGUAAAGAGCUCGUAGGCGGUUUGUCGCGUCUUCCGUGAAAACUGGGGGCUUAACUUCCAGCUUGCGGUGGAUACGGGCUGACUGGAGUGCGGCAGGGGAGACUGGAAUUCCUGGUGUAGCGGUGAAAUGCGCAGAUAUCAGGAGGAACACCGGUGGCGAAGGCGGGUCUCUGGGCCGUUACUGACGCUGAGGAGCGAAAGCGUGGGGAGCGAACAGG